rnacentral:lncRNA from 1 species
AGAAUUGACGCCCACCCGUCUAUUUACGGAACAAAACCCGAAAACCGGCGUUCAAAAGCUGUCCAAGAUUGCAGUCAUUGGUGUCUCCCUGGUGUUCCUGAUACAUGGAACCACUUCCUUUACCUCCAUUUGCUCCAUAAACGAUAAAUAGAGUUAACAAACUAAUCAUAGCUCCAGUUACUUGUUCAGAAUUGUUUGUUUAAUGUAGGGAUGGUCGAUCCAGUUUAACCAACCAAACCAAAACCAUAUUGGAAAAACCACUAUGACAACUGAAAUGAAAAGACAAAAAAAAAAGAAAAAAGUUUUAGUUUUCCUCUGACUCACGCUGGUCCCAUGAAUGGUUUUAUCGGGUCAAUCUCUUGGUUAAUUGGACCAUCUGAUUCUUCUUAGCUCCUCAACGAACGUGCACAUUAUAUAAGCAUCAGAGACCUCCUAAGGGAAUGGAGUUGAUAUUCUUCAUCUUACUCUGUGUAUUUAAUUAAUUAAAGCCCCCAAAUAUAUUAAAAAGGUUAAAAAAA